GUGGGGAAUAUUGGGCAAUGGGGGAAACCCUGACCCAGCGACGCCGCGUGAGGGAAGAAGGCCUUAGGGUCGUAAACCUCUGUUGUGUGGGAAGAAGAGCGUGACGGUACCACACGAGGAAGUCCCGGCUAACUACGUGCCAGCAGCCGCGGUAAUACGUAGGGGACGAGCGUUGUCCGGAUUUACUGGGCGUAAAGGGCGCGUAGGCGGUCAUUUAAGUCAGCUGUGAAAUGGUUUGGCUUAACCGGAUCAUGCGGUUGAAACUGGAUGACUGGAGUGCUGGAGAGGCAAGUGGAAUUCCCAGUGUAGCGGUGAAAUGCGUAGAUAUUGGGAAGAACACCGGUGGCGAAGGCGACUUGCUGGCCAGCAACUGACGCUGAGGUUCGAAAGCGUGGGUAGCAAACAGGAUUAGAAACCCUAGUAGUCC
rnacentral:rRNA from 1 species